CCAUGCAGUCGNACGGCAGCACGGGGGCAACCCUGGUGGNGAGUGGNGAACGGCUGAGUAAUAUAUCGGAACAUGUCCGGAAGUGGGGGAUAACGUAGCGAAAGUUACGCUAAUACCGCAUAUGCCCCAAGGNNAAAGNGGGGGAUCGCAAGACCUCUCGCUUUCGGAGUGGCCGAUACCGGAUUAGCUAGUUGGUGAGGUAAAGGCUCACCAAGGCGACGAUCCGUAGCUGGUCUGAGAGGACGACCAGCCACACUGGAACUGAGACACGNUCCAGACUCCUACGGGAGGCAGCAGUGGGGAAUUUUGGACAAUGAGGGCAACCCUGAUCCAGCCAUGCCGCGUGAAAGAAGAAGACCUUCGGGUUGUAAAGCUCUUUCAGACGGAAAGAAACGCUCACCGGUUAAGAACCGUGGUCUAAUGACGGUACCGUAAGAAGAAGCACCGGCUAACUACGUGCCAGCAGCCCCGGGAAUACGUGGGGCGGCCAGCGUGAAUCGGAAUUACUGGGCGUAAAGCGUGCUCAGGCGGUUUAGUAAGACAGAUGUGAAAUCCCCGGGCUUAACCNNNGAACUGCAUUUGUNACUGCGAGANUAAAUGUAGCAGAGGGGGGUAGAAUUCCACGUGUAGCAGUGAAAUGCGUAGAUAUGUGGAGGAAUNCCGAUGGCGAAGGCAGCCCCCUGGGCUAACACUGACGCUCAUGCAAGAAAGAGUGGGGAGCAAACAGGAUUAGAUACCCUGGUAGUCCACGCCCUAAAAGAUGUCAACUAGGUGUUGGGGAAGGAGACUUCUUUAGUACCACAGCUANAANGAUAAGUUGACCGCCUGGGGAGUACGCUCGCAAGAUAAAACUCAAAGGAAUGA
rnacentral:rRNA from 1 species